rnacentral:rRNA from 1 species
GUGAGGAAUAUUGGUCAAUGGGCGGGAGCCUGAACCAGCCAAGUCGCGUGAAGGAAGAAGGAUCUAUGGUUCGUAAACUUCUUUUGCAGGGGAAUAAAGUGCAGGACGUGUCCUGUUUUGUAUGUACCCUGAGAAUAAGGAUCGGCUAACUCCGUGCCAGCAGCCGCGGUAAUACGGAGGAUCCGAGCGUUAUCCGGAUUUAUUGGGUUUAAAGGGUGCGUAGGUGGUUUGAUAAGUCAGCGGUGAAAGUUUGCAGCUUAACUGUAAAAAUGCCGUUGAAACUGUCGGACUUGAGUGUAAAUGAGGUAGGCGGAAUGCGUGGUGUGGCGGUGAAAUGCAUAGAUAUCACGCAGAACUCCGAUUGCGAAGGCAGCUUACUAAGCUACAACUGACACUGAAGCACGAAAGCGUGGGGAUCAAACAGGAUUAGAAACCCCGGUAGUCC